UGGGGAAUAUUGGACAAUGGGCGCAAGCCUGAUCUAGCAAUGCCGCGUGUGUGAAGAAGGCCUUCGGGUUGUAAAGCACUUUUAUCAGGAGCGAAACGCUGUCGGCUAAUACCCGGCGGAACUGACGGUACCUGAGGAAUAAGCACCGGCUAACUUCGUGCCAGCAGCCGCGGUAAUACGAAGGGUGCAAGCGUUAAUCGGAAUUACUGGGCGUAAAGCGUGCGUAGGCGGUUUCUUAAGUCUGCUGUGAAAUCCCCGGGCUCAACCUGGGAAUGGCAGUGGAUACUGGGAGGCUAGAGUGUGUCAGAGGGUGGUGGAAUUCCCGGUGUAGCGGUGAAAUGCGUAGAGAUCGGGAGGAACAUCAGUGGCGAAGGCGGCCACCUGGGACAACACUGACGCUGAGGCACGAAAGCGUGGGGAGCAAACAGGAUUAGAUACCCUGGUAGUCCACGCCCUAAACGAUGCGAACUGGAUGUUGGUCUCAACUCGGAGAUCAGUGUCGAAGCUAACGCGUUAAGUUCGCCGCCUGGGGAGUACGGUCGCAAGACUGAAACUCAAAGGAAUUGACGGGGUCAUAGCUGUUUCCUG
rnacentral:rRNA from 1 species